AUUGAACGCUGGCGGAAUGCUUUACACAUGCAAGUCGAGCGGCAGCGCGGGGGCAACCCUGGCGGCGAGCGGCGAACGGGUGAGUAACAUAUCGGAACGUACCCAGUCGUGGGGGAUAACUAUCCGAAAGGAUAGCUAAUACCGCAUACGUCCUGAGGGAGAAAGCGGGGGAUCGCAAGACCUCGCGCGAUUGGAGCGGCCGAUAUCGGAUUAGCUAGUUGGUGGGGUAAGGGCUCACCAAGGCGACGAUCCGUAGCGGGUCUGAGAGGACGACCCGCCACACUGGAACUGAGACACGGUCCAGACUCCUACGGGAGGCAGCAGUGGGGAAUUUUGGACAAUGGGGGCAACCCUGAUCCAGCCAUUCCGCGUGAGUGAAGAAGGCCU
rnacentral:rRNA from 1 species